GGGGACUUAGCGCAGUGGUAGCGCGUGUGCUUUGCAUCAUGCAGUUGUAUAAGGUCGUGGGUUCAAUCCCCACAGUCUCCA